rnacentral:rRNA from 1 species
AUUGAACGCUGGCGGCAGGCCUAACACAUGCAAGUCGAGCGGAUGAGUGGAGCUUGCUCCAUGAUUCAGCGGCGGACGGGUGAGUAAUGCCUAGGAAUCUGCCUGGUAGAGGGGGACAACGUUUCGAAAGGAACGCUAAUACCGCAUACGUCCUACGGGAGAAAGUGGGGGAUCUUCGGACCUCACGCUAUCAGAUGAGCCUAGGUCGGAUUAGCUAGUUGGUGAGGUAAAGGCUCACCAAGGCGACGAUCCGUAACUGGUCUGAGAGGAUGAUCAGUCACACUGGAACUGAGACACGGUCCAGACUCCUACGGGAGGCAGCAGUGGGGAAUAUUGGACAAUGGGCGAAAGCCUGAUCCAGCCAUGCCGCGUGUGUGAAGAAGGUCUUCGGAUUGUAAAGCACUUUAAGUUGGGAGGAAGGGCAGUAAGUUAAUACCUCGCUGUUUUGACGUUACCAACAGAAUAAGCACCGGCUAACUUCGUGCCAGCCGCCGCUGUAACAC